CAUUACAUACAUUAUAUAUCCUACGGUAGCUCUAUUGCUUUCAUGGUAUCCCUAGGUUUAGCCUUCCGCUUCUCGCUGCCGCUGCUCCCUGCUUGUGUGUCAUCCGCCACACCAGCUCUAUGGCUGGCGACCCUCCUGCGCAGCCAAGAGGCGCUACUGCUUCUAGUGAAGCUGCCAGCACCAGCACAAUCACCGUCGAUCUGCCUGCCGCCGCCACUGCUGCUCUCCAAUAGGCUGAUGCUGCUCGCCUUGCCAAGUAGGAACGCGAGUGCAAGGCCCAAGCCACCAGCAUCGCCAUCCUUGCUUGUGCUUCUG
rnacentral:misc_RNA from 1 species